rnacentral:lncRNA from 1 species
AUGCAGCCGAGGUGGAAGGCAGGCUCCCUGAUUCUAUUAACCGCCAAGCCCCACUUCCCCACUAAAAGGUCGGACUUCGUCACGAGGACCAGCCAGGAGCAUCGCAGCCAAAGGCCGUCUCCAUCCGAGUGUUGCUUGUUUUUGAGCCCGGAGUCUCUUCCUUGGGGACAGACCCCUCUCAGCCCUCGACACCUGCUGUGUGUUUCGCAGUUACAGCCUUUCAGGCUGGACCGGCCGCAUUUUGAGGGCCCAGCGGCCGUCUGCCUGAGUCAGCGCGGACCUAAAGCAAACUGCACCGCCAAACUCGGCUCCUCUGUUGUCCAGGACCCUGCUGAGGCCACGGGUCUGAGCAUCCUCCUCUCGGCGCUCAGGAUGUGGUACAGAUACACAAUGGAAUAUUACUCAGCCAUAAAAAGAAUGAAAUAAUGCCAUUUGCAGCAACAUGGAUGCAGCUAGAGCGUCUCAUACUAAACGAAAUUAAGUUGGAAAAGAGAAAGACAAAUACCUUACAAGAUCAC